UGUGGGAGCGAGCUUGCUCGCGAUAGCGAAUCUUCAGUCAACACUUCAUUGACUGACACACUGCUAUCGCGAGCAAGCUCGCUCCCACA
rnacentral:misc_RNA from 1 species